GACGAACGCUGGCGGCGUGCCUAACACAUGCAAGUCGAGCGGGGAUUUAUGGAUGAAGUUUUCGGAUGGAUUUCAUAAAUUCUAGCGGCGGACGGGUGAGUAACGCGUGAGCAACCUGCCUAUCACUGGGGAAUAACGCAGCGAAAGUUGUGCUAAUACCGCAUGAGACCACAAUGUCGCAUGGCAAAGGGGUCAAAGAUUUAUCGGUGAUAGAUGGGCUCGCGUCUGAUUAGCUAGUUGGUGAGGUAACGGCCCACCAAGGCGACGAUCAGUAGCCGACCUGAGAGGGUGACCGGCCACAUUGGGACUGAGACACGGCCCAAACUCCUACGGGAGGCAGCAGUGGGGAAUAUUGCACAAUGGGCGAAAGCCUGAUGCAGCGACGCCGCGUGAACGAAGAAGUAUUUCGGUAUGUAAAGUUCUAUCAGCAGGGAAGAUAAUGACGGUACCUGACCAAGAAGCACCGGCUAAA
rnacentral:rRNA from 1 species